rnacentral:rRNA from 1 species
CAAUGGACGAAAGUCUGAUGGAGCCAUGCCGCGUGCAGGAUGAAUGCCCUAUGGGUUGUAAACUGCUUUUAUAUAGGAAGAACAUUUUCUACGUGUAGAGAACUGACGGUACUAUAGGAAUAAGGACCGGCUAACUCCGUGCCAGCAGCCGCGGUAAUACGGAGGGUCCAAGCGUUAUCCGGAUUUAUUGGGUUUAAAGGGUCCGUAGGCGGGAGAAUAAGUCAGUGGUGAAAGCCUACAGCUUAACUGUAGAACUGCCAUUGAAACUGUUUUUCUUGAAUUUAGAUGAAGUGGGCGGAAUAUAUCAUGUAGCGGUGAAAUGCAUAGAUAUGAUAUAGAACACCGAUUGCGAAGGCAGCUCACUAAACUAAUAUUGACGCUGAGGGACGAAAGCGUAGGGAGCGAACAGGAUUAGAUACCCUGGUAGUCCACGCCGUAAACGAUGAUUACUCGGUGCUAGCGAUAUACUGUUAGUGCCUAAGCGAAAGCGAUAAGUAAUCCACCUGGGGAGUAUGGUCGCAAGAUUGAAACUCAAAGGAAUUGACGGGGGCCCGCACAAGCGGUGGAGCAUGUGGUUUAAUUCGAUGAUACGCGAGGAACCUUACCUGGGCUUAAAUGUAUUUUGACAGGCUGAGAAAUCAGUCCUUCUUCGGACAAUUUACAAGGUGCUGCAUGGUUGUCGUCAGCUCGUGCUGUGAGGUGUCGGGUUAAGUCCCAUAACGAGCGCAACCCCUAUCCUUAGUUGCCAGCGAGUAAUGUCGGGGACUCUAGGGAAACUGCCGGUGCAAACCGUGAGGAAGGUGGGGAUGACGUCAAAUCAUCACGGCCCUUACGUCCAGGGCUACACACGUGCUACAAUGGCGCAUACAAAGGGCAGCUACAUGGUGACAUGAUGCUAAUCUCUAAAGUGCGUCUCAGUUCGGAUCGAAGUCUGCAACUCGACUUCGUGAAGCUGGAAUCGCUAGUAAUCGCGUAUCAGCAAUGACGCGGUGAAUACGUUCCCGGGCCUUGUACACACCGCCCGUCAAGCCAUGGAAGUUGGGAGUGCCUGAAGUCGGUGACCGCAAGGAGCUGCCUAAGGUAAAACUAGUAACUAGGGCUAAGUCGUAACAAGGUAGCCGUACCGGAAGGUGCGGCUGGAACACCUCCUUUUU